UACGUAGGGGGCAAGCUUUGUCCGGAAUCAUUGGGCGUAAAGAGCGUGUAGGCGGCUCGAUAAGUCUGCUGUGAAAGUCCAGGGCUCAACCCUGGAAGGCCGGUGGAAACUGUCGGGCUAGAGUCCGGAAGAGGCGAGUGGAAUUCCCGGUGUAGCGGUGAAAUGCGCAGAUAUCGGGAGGAACACCAAUGGCGAAGGCAGCUCGCUGGGACGGUACUGACGCUGAGACGCGAAAGCGUGGGGAGCAAACAGG
rnacentral:rRNA from 1 species